rnacentral:tRNA from 1 species
CCCAUAUUGGCAGAUUUCUAUUGCAAAAGAUUUAGAAUCUUUACAACCUAUA